GCGAGCGUUAAUCGGAAUUACUGGGCGUAAAGCGUGCGCAGGUGGUUUUGUAAGUCAGAUGUGAAAUCCCCGGGCUUAACCUGGGAACUGCGUUUGAAACUGCAAGGCUAGAGUGUGGCAGAGGGGGGUGGAAUUCCGCGUGUAGCAGUGAAAUGCGUAGAUAUGUGGAGGAACACCGAUGGCGAAGGCAGCCCCCUGGGUCAGCACUGACGCUCAGGCACGAAAGCAUGGGGAGCAAACAGGAUUAGAUACCCUGGUAGUCCAUGCCCUAAACGAUGUCAACUAGUUGUCGGGUCUUAACGGGCUUGGUAACGUAGCUAACGCGUGAAGUUGACCGCCUGGGGAGUACGAUCGCAAGAUUAAAACUCAAAGGAAUUGACGGGGACCCGCACAAGCGGUGGAUUAUGUGGAUUAAUUCGAUGCAACGCGAAAAACCUUACCUACCCUUGACAUGUAUCGAGGCCCGCAGAGAUGUGGGUGUGCCCGAAAGGGAACGAUAACACAGGUGCUGCAUGGCUGUCGUCAGCUCGUGUCGUGAGAUGUUGGGUUAAGUCCCGCAACGAGCGCAACCCUUAUCAUUAAUUGCCAUCAUUUAGUUGGGCACUUUAAUGAGACUGCCGGUGACAAACCGGAGGAAGGUGGGGAUGACGUCAAGUCCUCAUGGCCCUUAUGGGUAGGGCUUCACACGUAAUACAAUGGCGCGUACAGAGGGUUGCCAACCCGCGAGGGGGAGCCAAUCUCAGAAAGCGUGUCGUAGUCCGGAUCGGAGUCUGCAACUCGACUCCGUGAAGUCGGAAUCGCUAGUAAUCGCGGAUCAGCAUGUCGCGGUGAAUACGUUCCCGGGU
rnacentral:rRNA from 1 species